rnacentral:rRNA from 1 species
UACGUAGGGUGCAAGCGUUAAUCGGAAUUACUGGGCGUAAAGCGUGCGCAGGCGGUUCUAUAAGACAGAUGUGAAAUCCCCGGGCUCAACCUGGGAACUGCAUUUGUGACUGUAGAGCUGGAGUGCGGCAGAGGGGGAUGGAAUUCCGCGUGUAGCAGUGAAAUGCGUAGAUAUGCGGAGGAACACCGAUGGCGAAGGCAAUCCCCUGGGCUUGCACUGACGCUCAUGCACGAAAGCGUGGGGAGCAAACAGG